rnacentral:rRNA from 1 species
UUGUGACUAGUUGCCAGCACGUUAUGGUGGGAACUCUAGUCAGACUGCCCAGAUCAACUGGGAGGAAGGUGGGGACGACGUCAGGUCACGUAUCGGCCCUUGCGCCUUGGGCUGCACACGUACUACAAUGCCCAGUACAAUGAGAACCGAUACCGCGAGGUGGAGGAAAUCUGUAAAACUGGGCCCAGUUCGGAUUGGAGGCUGCAACUCGCCUCCAUGAAGUUGGAAUCGCUAGUAAUGGCGCAUCAUCUACGGCGCCGUGAAUACGUUCCCGGGUCUU